rnacentral:rRNA from 1 species
GGAAAAGAAACUAACAAGGAUUCCCCCAGUAACGGCGAGUGAACGGGGAAGAGCCCAGCGCCGAAGCCCCCGUCCCUCGCGGGCGGCGGGCAAUGUGGCGUUUGGGAGGAGCCUCUCCCUCUGGUUUACGGGAGCCCAAGUCCCCCUGACCGGGGCCAUCGCCCGUGGCGGGUGCAAGGCCCGUGCGGCUCUCCGGAGCCAGAGGACGGCUCUCUCCCGGGAGUCGGGUUGCUUGGGAGUGCAGCCCUAAGCGGGUGGUAAACUCCACCUAAGGCUAAAUACUUCCACGAGACCGAUAGCAAACAAGUACCGUGAGGGAAAGUUGCAAAGAACUUUGAAGAGAGAGUUCAAGAGUACGUGAAACCGCUCGGAGGCAAACGGGUGGGCCCUCGAAGGCUGACGGAAGGGGAUUCAACCCGUUGAAUUCUGGUCGCGCGCCGUGGUUCCUCUCUGGACGGAUCCGAGGGACCGGUCCACGGCACCAGCCGCGGCCGUCAGCGAGCGCACUUCCACUUCUUCGAGUCCCGUUYUUUUUUUUUUUUUUCUUCGGAAAAGAAAGGGAAGAAGCAGGGACCGGACGCCGCGACCGGUCGGGAGAAACAAUCGGCGGCCAUGCGGCGAGGUAGGGCAGGUAUCCGUGCCGGUAGGCCGUCUUCGCUCUCGGGCGUAGGCGUUUGCCCCGGUCGGAGUUAUAGCUCGCCUCGUCCCGGCUCCGCCGCCCGACCGAGGUCCAGAACCGAGGUUCGAGACCCGCGCCCGCGAUAUUUUUUUUUCUUUUAGAAAGAAAACUUCGCUCGGUGCCCGUUUGGCAGGCAGAGUUCGUCGGAUUUUCUGCCGGACGCCCACUGUGGCGGCCGGUGGCGGCGGCUCGCCGUUGGCCGAACUGUGGCUCCCGUGGCGGCGCUGGUGGUCUGCGGCGAGUAGCUCGGUUACCCACCYGNNCGGUCCYGAAACNCGGACCAAGGAGUCUAACAUGUGCGCGAGUCGUAGGGCUCGCCACGAAGCCCGAAGGCACAAUGAAAGUGAAGGUCGGCCAAGCCCGCCGAUCGAGGCGGGAUCCGCAAACCCUGCUGGCCCGGGCUCUCUCCGUCUCUCCUCUCUUUUUUGCGGGGAGGGUCUGGGGGACGCCUUUGUGGCCUCGGGGAGCGGCGCACCGCCGGCCCGUCUCGACCGCAACGCCGGUGAGGCGGAGCCAGAGCGCACACGUUGGGACCCGAAAGAUGGUGAACUAUGCCUAGGCAGGACGAAGCCAGAGGAAACUCUGGUGGAGGUCCGUAGCGAUUCUGACGUGCAAAUCGAUCGUCGGACCUGGGUAUAGGGGCGAAAGACUAAUCGAACCAUCUAGUAGCUGGUUCCCUCCGAAGUUUCCCUCAGGAUAGCUGGUACUCGAGGAGGGACAGUCUCAUCCGGUAAAGCGAAUGAUUAGAGGCCUUGGGGCCGAAACGACCUCAACCUAUUCUCAAACUUUCAAUGGGUGAGAAGUCCGGCUUGCUCGACUGAAGCCCGGACGUCGGAUGCGAGUGCCCAGUGGGCCACUUUUGGUAAGCAGAACUGGCGCUGUGGGAUGAACCAAACGCCGGGUUACGGCGCCCGAUGCGGACGCUCAUCAGACCCCAUGAAAGGUGUUGGUUGCUAUAGACAGCAGGACGGUGGCCAUGGAAGUCGGAAUCCGCUAAGGAGUGUGUAACAACUCACCUGCCGAAGCAACUAGCCCUGAAAAUGGAUGGCGCUCCAGCGUCGAGCCCAUACCCGGCCGCCGGGGCAGAGCCCGUUUUUCGGAGAGGUUGGCUGCGGGAGAGUGGUGGUGGAGGAGGGGGGGGUUCGUCCCCCCCUUUUUCUUUUUCCCCCUCUUCCCGUUCCUUCUCUUGAUCUGAAAAUUCUAAGGCCCCAGACGCCCCGGCGAGUAGGAGGGUCGCGGCGACGAGCGUUGAAGGAGUCGGGCGUAGGCCCGCCUGGAGCCGUCGCCGGUGCAGAUCUUGGUGGUAGUAGCAAAUACUCGAGUGAGAACCUUGAGGACUGAAGUGGAGAAGGGUUCCAUGUGAACAGCAGUUGAACAUGGGUCAGUCGGCCCUAAGGAAUAGGGGAAACCCGUUCCGAAUUGGGGGUGUUUUGAAUUUCUUAAGCCCCGACUAGACCGAAAGGGAAUCGGGUUAAUAUUCCCGAACCCGGACACGGAGAUCGGUCCUAUUCUGGACCAGUGCGGUGACGCAAACGAACUCGGAGACGUCGGCGGGAGUCCCGGGAAGAGUUGUCUUUUCUUUGUAAGGGACGGACUCCCUGGAAUCGGCUCGCCCGGAGAUAGGGAUGUUGUUCCCGUAAAGCAUCGCGCCUCCUGCGAUGUCCGGAGCGCUCCUGCCGGCCCUUGAAAAUCCGAGGGAGAGGGUGUGAUUUUCGUGCCGGACCGUACCCAUAUCCGCAGCAGGUCU